GUAGCACUCAUUGGUGUGAUGA
rnacentral:siRNA from 1 species